ACUGAACGCUGGCGGCAUGGCUAAAACAUGCAAGUCGAACGGACCCGCAAGGGUUAGUGGCGGAAGGGUGAGUAAAAGUAUCGAACGUACCCCGAGGUGGGGGAUAGGCACGGGAAACUGUGCGUAAUACCCCAUGAUCUCGAGAGAGCAAAGCCGCAAGGCGCCUUGGGAGCGGCGAUAUACCUAUCAGGUAGUUGGCGGGGUAACGGCCCACCAAGCCGAAGACGGGUAGCCGGUGUGAGAGCACGGCCGGCCACAUCGAGACUGAGACACGGCCCAGACUCCUACGGGAGGCAGCAGUGGGGAAUCUUGCGCAAUGGGCGAAAGCCUGACGCAGCGACGUCGCGUGAGGGAUGACGGCC
rnacentral:rRNA from 1 species